GCUCAUCAAAAAUAUAUAUGGACCAAAAAAGUGAUGAAAGACAAAAAAGAGUAGUUCAAGAUAACACAAAUCCACAUUAACCGCUUUCCUUUCCGAAUAAAUAACCCAUAUAUUCUCUCCUCUCUCGUUUUUCAUAUUCACCAAAUCUCCAAACCCUAAUCUGAAGCAAUCACCGAUACCCUUUUCAAUUUAUUAUCUCAAAUUUGCUUCUGAAAUUCGCCGUUUCUUCCAGUCGGAUACGGAGUGUUUCCAUCUCUCUUUCGUUGCUAUAUUCCGGGAUUAUGGCUCUUGCGCAGACUUACUAUUCACAAGGUGGCCCUUUUCGUGGAGACUCUAGGUCGUUUUAUGGUAGGAACCAGAUUAGUGGAACACAUUCCUCUGCUAACAACCAUUAUGAUACUGUUGUUAGUCAUCUUUUUAGCUCCAAUGGUUCCCAUGACUUGAGUAGAAAUUUUAGCGAGUAUAGCUAUGGCUAUGAUAAUUUCGUAAAGCCUGAGGCUGAACCUUCUUUGAAGAGGAGGAAGUGUUCAGCUUCUGGUUGGGAAAGCAAUGGCAGGUACUCCCAAGCAAUCGAUGCAUGUAAAGAUGCUCCUUCAAAGCAGCCAAGCACAUGCUAUAAUGUUCCAUUGAGGAAUUCCAGAGCGUAUGAUGAUGCAUAUUCAGCCUGUAACAACAAUUCAGCCAUUACUACUAGUACUUCCAGACCUCGUUCUGAUGCAAGCGUACCCACGAGCUCUAAGCGCGACCGCUCAUGGCUUGAGGAUACUGAAACUGAUAAUAUCUUUAUGUCUAGGGAGCAAAUAGAUAAGUGCUCCCCAUCCAGGAAAGAUGGUAUUGAUGCAAUGCAUGAAGCACAUUUGCGAUACUCGUAUUGUGCUUUCCUCCAGAACCUCGGAAUUCGCCUGGACCUGCCACAGACCACUAUUGGAACUGCCAUGGUUCUAUGUCACCGCUUCUUUGUGAGGCGAUCACACGCAUGUCAUGACAGAUUUUUGGUUGCUACUGCUGCUCUCUUUCUUGCGGCGAAGUCAGAAGAGACUGCACGGCCUCUCAACAAUGUUUUGAGGGCCUCAUGUGAAAUUUUCCACAAGCAGGAUCUUGCAGUUUUAUCAUAUUUACUACCUGUGGACUGGUUUGAGCAGUACCGUGAACGUGUUAUUGAAGCUGAGCAGAUGAUACUGACCACUUUAAAUUUUGAACUGAACGUGCAACAUCCAUAUGAACCUCUUACAUCCACCCUUGAAAAAUUAGGGCUUUCUGAAACAGUAUUGGUGAAUCUAGCACUGCAUCUUGUCAGUGAAGGGGUCUAUAGAAGGAUUAGCUUGCUCGUCUGUAUGAUAUUUGCUGGCGGUUGAUAUGCUGUGCAUCAAAUGUUUUGUUUUACCGUCUGAAGUUAAAACUAGCCAUUUCUUGUGGAUGCUUUUCCAUGCUGACAUCUUAAUAGUAUGGCCAUUGACCAUAGAAGAAUGUCAAAGAUGCUCGAGAAGUUUGCCAUGAUACUUUAUGUUUUUCAUGCUCAAAUGGAACAACUCCAUAUGGAGUCCUCAUGCACUUUGUCUCUUCAUGUAGCCUAUUCCUCAGGUGUCCAUGUAGGAUACCAAUUAUUCGGACAGAGAAUUCUAUAAUGGUUGGUAGUGUGUUCUUGACUGCCUAGUGGUGGGGUAUGGGUAGUCCGGUUUUUGGAACUGGUGAAUACAGAUUUUACAAGUUCUCAACUUCUCAUCUUGUUGGAGCAAAGAAUUAUUCCUAAAAUAUGAUAUAAAACAGAUUAACAUCUUGAAGGAUUAGUAACCUUUGUGGUAGGACAGGUCUGCGUAGACUAUCGUUUUCUGUGUGAUAAGUUGGAAAGAUUAUCAGGCCUAUGUAAUUAGUGGUUCUUGUACCAUUCUUGUUUAUACCUCGAUGGCGUUGUAAUUGUCCUACCUCUAUUACUAAAGGAUCCAUGAUUUGGGGAUUGUGGUUUUUGGUUCCCGGACUCCAUUUGGAGCUCUCUCUCUCUCUCUAGAAUAACCAUAACGUUCCUACUUUUCUUCUCACCAUCUUGAUCUUCUCUCUUUCGCUACAGACACAUACUGAAUCCGGUUUUUCUAGUUAUGCUGCUUGUUAUUCACAUGUGCAUUCCAUAGGCACACUUGUAGCAGAAUAAGUUACUACCUAUAUAUUACUUUUAGAAGUUUGAGGACCACAGUGGCUUGAAAUCUUUUUUAUGCUUAUCAACUUUGUACUACAAAAUUUGUUCACUUUAUAAAGUCAAAUUUGAAGAGCUCUUUCGAAACUAGUAAUUUCAGAGAGAACAUACACACACACACAAUAUAUAUAUAUAUAUAUAUAUAUAUAUAUAUAUAUAUAUAUAUACACAUACAUAGAAGAGGCGUAAUUUCUGAAAGUUAUAGGAUGACUUCUCUCUUUUUUUAUCGAUACUCUUUUGGAACUCAUUAUGAAUUAAACGGCUGUAACAUUCAAGUGUUACUUCAAAUGAGGAAACUUCAUUUCUUGUGCCCUCUUUUUUCUCCUUUUGGCUCGCUAAGUGGAUUGGGCAGCAUACUUUCGGAGAUUGUGGGAUGCCUGACUGACAGAGAACGUAGUUGGGGAAAAUGCCUACAUAUUGUUGGAUAAUGUAGUUGUAGAGGGCACUGAUUUUCCAAAUGUUAGUGUCUUCUCAACAUCUAACAGAGGUUAGCUAAUUUUUGGCUGUCCUGUUUAGGUUUUUAGCAAUAACUUUCUGGCAGAAAGGGUGACGCCUGUUUAUUGUGUCAUUCUGUUAGCUCCUUCAUGGUAGAUAUGAGCAAAUAAGUUUCUGCUCAAAUAUACUACAGUAUGAGUGAAACUUAGAGUGAGGAUCAGAGCUGGCAAGUCCACAAGUUCUAUUCUCUUUCCUCUGGGUAUGGUAGUGAAAAAGAGUGCAACAGUUGUUGCUUGUGUCUGUCUUGUUUUGGUAUAUGAGGUACAUAUAUUUUUGGGGUUAUACUGCAGCAGCGGAGCUGGAAGUAGGAGUUGAUGCUAUCUAGAUGGGUACAACAUGUUUAUUAUAUAUUUCAUUCUCUCAACAUUGUGCAGAAGAUUCUUGGAUUUUUCCAACUCGGUUGCUGCUUGCGUAGUUGGCUCCGAAGUUCACUCUGGCUUCAGUUCAAGCCUUACCAGAUAGCUGCCGGGGCUGCAUAUCUAGCAUCAAAAUUUCUGAACAUGGAUUUGGCUUCACAUCAUUCUGUCUGGAAAGAGUUUCAAACACCCCCGAAUGUGCUUAGAGAUGUUGCACAACAGUUGAUGGAGCUCUUUUAGGAGACAUGAGAUACGGCAGUUAACAUCAGCAAAACAUAAAAAGUCAAUAUCAACAAUUUUUUGGCUCUUCACUUGGUAGAUGUAUUUGUAGAUUCUACCAUCGUGCAUAGGCUUAAAGAUCAGUGUAUAGAUUUCACUGUGGAAUUUCUUAGUUUGAAAUUAUCUGUGGAGUGCUUGUCGUCUAUACCUUAUAGUAAAGAACUUCAUUCUCCGUGUAAAUUGUUUUUUUUCUCACUGCAAAAGUGUCCAUUAAUUAUUGAGAUCGUUCUCUUUUACCUCA